UUGACCCUUAACUACAUUCUGUACACAUAAUACCGUAAUCACAGAACAUAUACACAUAUACCCUUAAUCCUGAAUAAUUCACUAAAAGAAAUUUUAGAUCCUAGAAAUUCCUUCCUGAAAAUAUCAAACACAUACACUUAUUUUCUGUCUAGGUCUAUUAUUUGACCUUAAACCAAUCAUUUAGGAUUUUAAUAAUUUUCCAAUUUCUCGGGUUGUCACA
rnacentral:lncRNA from 1 species